rnacentral:lncRNA from 1 species
CGCUUUGAAGUGUACCAAAGGGAGAUGAGGAAGAGGAGGAGUACAAUUGCAGCUCCAACGAUAAUACCAACAACUACCCAUAAGUGUAGACCGAAUAUUGAAGUCUUCUUUGAGAGCUCAUCAUUUAAGAAAGAUGACAUAUUUUUAUCUUAUUCUUCUACUACUGAGAAGAAUCUUUGGUUAGCUGAAAUACGAAUACAUGAACACUAAGAACUGACAUUUUUUUAUCUUAUUCUUCUACUACUGAGAAGAAUCUUUGGUUAGCUGAAAUACGAAUACAUGAACACUAAGAAGUGUUAGAGACAGAGAGAGGAAGUACAGUGUAAGGUUUAGUGACAGUAUAUGGCGGUAUGGUCCAAUAGGGUGCGUGUGGGGAUAGUACAGAGGACAGACAGUAGGACGUUAGAGGAGCUAUGGGUUUUGGACCAAAGGAGGGAGUGAGCGGUCAAGAGUAGGGAGGGGGAGGAGCAGCUGUAAUGAUGGGACUGCUAAAAGGGGAAGAUUUGUUUAAGC